rnacentral:rRNA from 1 species
AUUGAACGCUGGCGGCAUGCCUUACACAUGCAAGUCGAACGGUAACAGGUCUUCGGAUGCUGACGAGUGGCGAACGGGUGAGUAAUACAUCGGAACGUGCCUAGUAGUGGGGGAUAACUACUCGAAAGAGUGGCUAAUACCGCAUGAGAUCUACGGAUGAAAGCAGGGGAUCGCAAGACCUUGUGCUACUAGAGCGGCCGAUGGCAGAUUAGGUAGUUGGUGGGAUAAAAGCUUACCAAGCCGACGAUCUGUAGCUGGUCUGAGAGGACGAUCAGCCACACUGGGACUGAGACACGGCCCAGACUCCUACGGGAGGCAGCAGUGGGGAAUUUUGGACAAUGGGCGAAAGCCUGAUCCAGCAAUGCCGCGUGCAGGAAGAAGGCCUUCGGGUUGUAAACUGCUUUUGUACGGAACGAAACGGUCCUGGUUAAUACCCGGGGCUAAUGACGGUACCGUAAGAAUAAGCACCGGCUAACUACGUGCCAGCCGCCGCAGUAA